UACGGAGGGAGCUAGCGUUGUUCGGAAUUACUGGGCGUAAAGCGCGCGUAGGCGGCUUUGUAAGUUAGAGGUGAAAGCCCGGGGCUCAACCCCGGAACUGCCUUUAAAACUGCAUCGCUUGAAUCCGGGAGAGGUGAGUGGAAUUCCGAGUGUAGAGGUGAAAUUCGUAGAUAUUCGGAAGAACACCAGUGGCGAAGGCGGCUGCACUGGAC
rnacentral:rRNA from 1 species